AACGAACGCUGGCGGCAUGCCUAACACAUGCAAGUCGAACGAGACCUUCGGGUCUAGUGGCGCACGGGUGCGUAACGCGUGGGAAUCUGCCCUUGGGUUCGGAAUAACAGUUAGAAAUGACUGCUAAUACCGGAUAAUGUCUUCGGACCAAAGAUUUAUCGCCCAGGGAUGAGCCCGCGUAGGAUUAGCUAGUUGGUGAGGUAAAGGCUCACCAAGGCGACGAUCCUUAGCUGGUCUGAGAGGAUGAUCAGCCACACUGGGACUGAGACACGGCCCAGACUCCUACGGGAGGCAGCAGUCGGGAAUUUUGGGCAAUGGGCGAAAGCCUGACCCAGCAACGCCGCGUGAAGGAUGAAGUAUUUCGGUAUGUAAACUUCGAAAGAAUAGGAAGAAUAAAUGACGGUACUAUUUAUAAGGUCCGGCUAAUUACGUGCCAGCAGCCGCGGUAAU
rnacentral:rRNA from 1 species